AUCUCUUGGUACAUGAGUGGCUACCACACUGGCUACUAUAUGAUAAUCCCGCCACCCCCUCCCAUCUCUCCCGACUGUCUGGAUGACAC
rnacentral:sRNA from 1 species